rnacentral:lncRNA from 1 species
UUUUUUGAUUUUUUUUGAAUUUUUCACGUCCACUUCAAAAUGUGGUCAAAAUGGCGGGUAUGUCGACCAUUCAUAUUAUUUGAAAAUGUAACAAGCUCUCAUGUUUGUGAAAUUUGGUGUGGUAUUGGUUUAUAGUCUCUAGAAGGCGUGGAAAGUUUGUGAAAAAAAUUACUAAGUUUUAUCAUGUUUAUUUGGACAAAAG